CCUACGGGAGGCAGCAGUGAGGAAUAUUGGUCAAUGGGCGCGAGCCUGAACCAGCCAAGUAGCGUGAAGGAUGACUGCCCUACGGGUUGUAAACGUCUUUUAUAAAGGAAUAAAGUGAGGCACGUGUGCCUUUUUGUAUGUACUUUAUGAAUAAGGAUCGGCUAACUCCGUUCCAUCAGCCGCGGUAAUACGGAGGAUCCGAGCGUUAUCCGGAUUUAUUGGGUUUAAAGGGAGCGUAGAUGGGUUGGUAAGUUAGUUGUGAAAGUUUGCGGCUCAACCGUAAAAUUGCAAUUGAUACUGGCAGUCUUGAGUACAGUUGAGGUAGGCGGAAUUCGUGGUGUAGCGGUGAAAUGCUUAGAUAUAACGAAGAACUCCGAUUGCGAAGGCAGCUUACUAAGCUGCCACUGACAUUGAUGCUCGAAAGUGUGGGUAUCAAACAGGAUUAGAUACCCCAGUAGUC
rnacentral:rRNA from 1 species